UCUAGAAGUCGAGAUAUGGGCUGAACACUGAACAAUGUCUAGGCUGCAGGACAAAUUCCGACUUCUCCGUUGUUGCUACCAUUUGAACUCGAAAAUGGUACUUUUAAAUCUUGGACUCUUCAUGAAAGUUUUAGGCCUAUGUCUUACUUUCUAUC
rfam:Populus trichocarpa scaffold_11_contig_440, whole genome shotgun sequence.